AUUGAACGCUGGCGGCAGGCCUAACACAUGCAAGUCGAACGGUAACAGGAAGCAGCUUGCUGCUUCGCUGACGAGUGGCGGACGGGUGAGUAAUGUCUGGGAAGCUGCCUGAUGGAGGGGGAUAACUUCUGGAAACGGUAGCUAAUACCGCAUAAUGUCGCAAGACCAAAGAGGGGGACCUUCGGGCCUCUUGCCAUCGGAUGUGCCCAGAUGGGAUUAGCUUGUUGGUGGGGUAACGGCUCACCAAGGCGACGAUCCCUAGCUGGUCUGAGAGGAUGACCAGCCACACUGGAACUGAGACACGGUCCAGACUCCUACGGGAGGCAGCAGUGGGGAAUAUUGCACAAUGGGCGCAAGCCUGAUGCAGCCAUGCCGCGUGUAUGAAGAAGGCCUUCGGGUUGUAAAGUACUUUCAGCGGGGAGGAAGGGAGUAAAGUUAAUACCUUUGCUCAUUGACGUUACCCGCAGAAGAAGCACCGGCUAACUCCGUG
rnacentral:rRNA from 1 species